rnacentral:rRNA from 1 species
UACAGAGGGGGCAAGCGUUGUUCGGAAUUACUGGGCGUAAAGGGCGCGUAGGCGGCCUUCUAAGUCGAACGUGAAAUCCCUGGGCUCAACCCAGGAACUGCGUCCGAUACUGGAAGGCUUGAAUCCGGGAGAGGGAUGCGGAAUUCCAGGUGUAGCGGUGAAAUGCGUAGAUAUCUGGAGGAACACCGGUGGCGAAGGCGAAUCUCUGGACAGUUACUGACACUGAGGCACGAAGGCCAGGGGAGCAAACGGG